AUAGUUUGCACCUAUUUAAGGUUGUAUAUGGGCCUGUGCCAAUUGAUAGAAAAGUUCUCUGGAUAGUAAAUUUUUGACAGCUAUGAGGUGAAUAAAAAUGUUUGAUACGGCAGGGCUAGUGAAAAAUUUGACAGCAAGCAUUAUCAAGAAGAAGAACGAACAACGCACGUAUACACAUAAAUUAAAGAAAACAAAAGCGAGCGGAAAUAAAAGAACAUGGUCCCGCCGGCAAAAAAAAUAAAGAAAAGCUAUAUAACUUGUAAGAUUUAAUUUCAGAUUUACAUAUGAAAAGGCGUUAUGUAUUUUUUUAAUUAAAAAUACUAUUUUACAGGGAGCAGUUCAGAACGCAGAAUCCUUCUGGAAAAGCGCAUUGACAAGGAUGUUUGGUUCAAAAAAUCGCGAAUGAGCUGAAGGAUCGCCUGGACGGUAAAAGUGCUGAAGCACAAUGGAAUGCGUUGAUGAACCAUCCGUGGCGCUUUUUGGGAAUGUUAGUUACAAUUUUUCGAAACGAAGCAGAGGACAACCUAAGAUGCAUUUUUGUAGUCUUGUUAUCGCCGUUCAUAAUGCUGCUUAGUAUUUUGGAAUAAACGUCUUGUUGCAUGUACAUAAA